rnacentral:rRNA from 1 species
AGAGUUGAUCAUGGCUCAGGAUGAACGCUAGCUACAGGCUUAACACAUGCAAGUCGAGGGGUAGCAGGUAGCAAUACCGCUGACGACCGGCGCACGGGUGAGUAACACGUAUCCAACCUUCCCAUAACUCAGGGAUAGCCUUUCGAAAGAAAGAUUAAUACCUGAUAGUACUUCUUCAAGGCAUCUUGAAAAAGUUAAAGAUUUAUUGGUUAUGGAUGGGGAUGCGUUCCAUUAGAUAGUUGGUGAGGUAACGGCUCACCAAGUCUUCGAUGGAUAGGGGUUCUGAGAGGAAGGUCCCCCACAUUGGUACUGAGACACGGACCAAACUCCUACGGGAGGCAGCAGUGAGGAAUAUUGGUCAAUGGGCGAGAGCCUGAACCAGCCAAGUAGCGUGAAGGAUGAAGGUCCUAUGGAUUGUAAACUUCUUUUAUAGUAGAAUAAAGUGAGCCACGUGUGGUUUUUUGUAUGUAUACUAUGAAUAAGGAUCGGCUAACUCCGUGCCAGCAGCUGC